CCUGCAAAGGGAUAAUAAAUAUUCUGUAGAAUAUUAAAUUACAGUAAUAAAAUUCAAUUAAACAAUGCUUUAAUUUUUACCAUCAUCUAUGAGAAAUUCUAAACAUUGCCAGAGAUAAAUGUUUCUACCUGCUGCUGUAAACAUCUCCCAACUCUCACCUUCUUGGUAUGUCCUUGUUACUUCUAGCAAAGUUACCUGAAGUGAGACAAAAUAGCAUUCUGAUGCUGGGGCAGCAAGAAAGAGAUGGUGUUUAUUAAAAGUUUUUCUAUUCUGCUUGGAGAAAUCUAUUAAUGCUUGAGUUGGGAAGAAUUGUACCUGUGGUUAGAGUAAAUGAAAAAUGAAUCAAGAAACUUCAUUAUAGAUAGUUUUCCCAUAGAGAUUUUCAAUAUUAUGGAGUUUUAAUGAAGGAAUUAAAUGCAGGUUGAACUAGUGUCUAACAACCUCACAGAAUGUCACCUGACUGAUGGUGAAUCAUAGUCACUAUUUGGUAAUUUAAAUGUAAAACUAUUAUUACCUGUGUAAAGAAUAGUACUUCAGAAAGCAAACCCUUAAAUAGGUCGGAACCCUAAUGUGUAUGCAUUUAUUUUACUUAGCAGGGGAUUGAAAGGAAAAUAUAACAUUAAAACACAUUCUGAAAGUGAGAUGCAAAUUGUAACCAUUUUAUGAAAUUGAAGCUCAAGACCCAUUGUUAUAAUACUUUGGGUUACAUACAGAUUUUGGAUACCUGGGUGCUCUGAAUCCACUUUAAAAUAUAUAGGUUAAUUAGAGGUUACAUAUCUUAGAAAAAUGUCUAUUUUAAAGUACCUUUGAAAGAAGUGAAAGUAAUACAUGAAAUUCAAUUUUAAUGUAACAUUUAAGCUUUUGAGUUCUCUUAGCUACUUAUUUUCAUUACAAAUCUACAAAAAUCUAAUGCUUAUGCAAAAUUACACUGAAUAUAGGUUUAUUACAUGUCAUUAGUUUCUGGAUCUAAUUCUGAAUUCCUUCAGGGGAAAAUUAGAUUGUUAAAAUCAAAUAGAAAAUAAUGUAUUCUUGAUUAAGAAAGCAAUUUUAAGAUAUCCCCCAAAUUCCUGAAACUAGUGGUCUGUGUUUGAAAGGCAUUCCUCUCAUACAGGGCCUUAAGCAAGGCAUUGACCAGUAAUAGGAACGUGUCUUCUAUUGUGCUUAAAGCUCCUAGUCUCCAGGAGAGCUAGACUUGUCCACAGUACAAGUUAAAGUCCCCUGAAGAGCUGGUCCUCAGUAAGUACAUUCCUGUCGUGGCUCAGUGGUUAACGAAUCCAACUAGGAACCAUGAGGUUUUGGGUUCGAUCCCUGGCCUUACUCAGUGGGUUAAGGAUCUGGCGUUGCCGUGAGCUGUGGAUAGGUUUCAGACGUGGCUCAGGUCUCACCUUGCUGUGGCUGUGGCGUAGGCCUGCGGCUACAGCUCCGAUUGGACCCCUAGCCUGGGAACCUCCAUAUGCCAGGGAGUGGCCCUAGAAAAGGCAAAAAGACAAAAACAAAAACAAAACACACACACACAAAGUUGCUUUUUCUUGUCAGAAGAGUUGGGUGUUUUGAGGGAAAUUGAGACUGUACCAAAGUACUGGAAACAAGUAAGUUUGGCAACCAGGAACAACCAAUUUUAGAAAUAUCUAGUAAAUUUAGGAUUUAUCGACAAAAAAGUUUGGGUUCAAGCUGCACUCUCCUUCAUAUGCAUUUCAAACAAUUGGCCAUAUAACUAUUUACUUCGUGGAAGGGAACAUUGCCUGAAGAACCUGUGGGUCCU
rnacentral:lncRNA from 1 species